GAGAAAAGCCCCGAAUUGAAAUUAAUCAAAACGAGGCCUACUCGAUGCGUCAGAAACAUCAGGUUAGCCUCUUACCCGCCGAAAGGCAAGGAGUCGGAGUCUAUGAUG
rnacentral:antisense_RNA from 1 species